AUUGAACGCUGGCGGCAUGCCUUACACAUGCAAGUCGAACGGCAGCACGGGAGCUUGCUCCUGGUGGCGAGUGGCGAACGGGUGAGUAAUACAUCGGAACGUACCCAGGAGUGGGGGAUAACGUAGCGGAAGUUACGCUAAUACCGCAUAUUCUGUGAGCAGGGAAGCGGGGGAUCGCAAGACCUCGCGCUCUUGGAGCGGCCGAUGUCGGAUUAGCUAGUUGGUGAGGUAAAAGCUCACCAAGGCGACGGUCCGUAGCAGGUCUGAGAGGAUGAUCGGCCACACUGGGACUGAGGCACGGACCAGACUCCUACGGGAGGCAGCAGUGGGGAAGUUUGGACAAUGGGGGCAACCCUGAUCCAGCCAUGCCGGGUGAGUGAAGAAGGCCUUCGGGUUGUAAAGCUCUUUCGGCGGGGAAGAAAUGGCAACGGCUAAUAUCCGUUGUUGAUGACGUACCCGCAUAAGAAGCACCGGCUAACUACGUGCCAGCAGCCGCCGUAAAAC
rnacentral:rRNA from 1 species